GAAAAUGGCUAUUUUGUUGCUAAUUUGCAGGAAAUAUCUAGAAGAAAGUUCUACAGAAAGUAGCUAAGGGUCCUCAGAAAUGUAGCUAGCUUUGUCACUAGGCGUUAGGAACAGCGACAAAGUGGCACUGCCUCUCUCUCUGCUGCUAAAGCUACGGAUAGCAAAUGCUACGGGCUAUGCCUGAGCGUGAACGCGCAUGAAGCAGCCUGCUCGACCCGAGCAUCUCUCUUUUUCUGUGAUUUUACAGAAAAACAGGCAAUCACAGUAAAAAUGCCAGGGCUCAUUCUACAGGACCAGGGCAUUGCAGGAGAAUGUAUGAAGAAGACAUUUAUUAUUUCUAUACAUGUUUUGACUGUCAAACUUCCAUAAUGCCCCUUUAAGUCAGCAAACAGUAAAACUGAAUAUUAGCACCAAAACAAUGAAAACCCUGGAGGUGAUUGUGUGUGGCACUCUGACUAGCCGUUCGCUUAUCAGUUCGGCUACAAAAGCUAUUUCUCCAGACAGAGGCCUGUCAAGAAGCUACCUGUGACAUUUUCAAAAAUCUUUUACUAUAAAAAGUAUGAAAACUCACUUUUAUGUUAAAUCUAAAGAACAGAAAAGGCAGUUAGAGGGUGAGAAGAAAGUCAAAGACUAGUCAAGAUUUGGGGCACCAUAGCAGGAAGGAUCAGAAAUAUAUUUAGCUCCAGUAAUAACAACACCACAAAUGCUCCCUCGCUGCAUUUCAGUUUUACUCCCAUGAAACAAUGCUUUUAGAGACAAUAGAAGGCUCAUUUCCCUCUGUUUUUCUUUCUUCUCUGUUCCCAAACCGAUGCUGGGGAAGGCCAUACCUCCGACUCUCUCUUAAACGCAUUAACGGUUUGCCAGGUUUUCCUUCACACAUCAUCGGGAGUGGGAGUUAUUUUGGAGGCCUGUGGAAAUUGAGGGCUGAAAGCAGUGAGGCUGUAAGGUCCCUCUCUUCCCACAACUGCUCUCAAUCACCCCGGUGACUGCCCGGCUGUCAAUCACUCCAACAUCAGACCCACGCUGAGUAGAUCCAGCCUGCUGGCACACAAACACACAUGAGGAAAAUGGAGGGGAGAAACGGAGGAAGGAGGUGGUCUUGUCAGCACCUGCUGAGCCUCAUCGGCGAAUCCGGAGAUCCACGGAUAGAUCCUACCUCACGUCCUCACCACGGGGCUCUGGUUGUGAAGGUACCACUUUCAUUUUGGUGGUGUUUACUCAGCCUCCGACCAUGCCAUCCUGCAGCGUCAGCAUGAGCUUCCUCCUCACCGUGCGGAGACCUCGGGUCAGAAUGACACGACGCCACAAACAGGCCCGAUGGAAAGUCUGACUGCUCACCUAAACGUCAGCAAUCACCUACUCUCAGACAUUUUCUAUAAGCAAAGCAAUCUCAGAAAUAAAACACCCCAGUUUUGAAGUCCACCUUUGAAUGCGCAGGAGCUCCCAAUUAAUUUCAUCUGUUUUUGUCCAACGUUGCCUUCACACACACACACACACACGCAGAGUCCAUAGGGAUCAUGUGUUGGGCCCAAACCACAGCCUGGGCGCUUUCAUGGCUCCUUCAUUAUAUCAAUAAGUCUUCACAUUAAUCUCAGCGCAGUGCACUCAGACUAUUACCAGACUAGCCGCGCACCACAGACGGGCUCUCAAGCUCAGACUCCAGCAGGCAAACGUCUUCUGAUUGGUGAAGACUCAAAUUUACAAGAGAUGCACCAAACCCGAGGGUGAUUAAACAUCAAAUGAAAAAAACCUAUGAAAAAAACAUCUUAAAGACAUCUUUAAUAUGAGAUCCGAUCAUUUCUGAAGAGCCGUUUUCAAUACCGACUCAUGGAGUCCUUUUCAAAUUACAAACCUUUUAAAAAUGAGGUGAUUUUUGAAGAUUAGGGUCCUGAACACGAGGAGCGCCUGUAAAAAAAAGUGAAUGAAAACGCAAUAAAUGCUUUGAUUUUAGGCCGAGUGAGCGCUAAGAGCCAACAGACGGAGAAAAUGUGGAAAACAACAAAGAGGCUGUGAGGGUUUGAGAGGAGGUCUUGUCUGUCUGGACAGGAAAGGGGGUUCGCUAACCUUUGACCUCUAUCCACUUUUUGUCUGUGUGUGUGUGUGUGUGUGUGUGUGUGUGUUUAUCCUUCUGCACAGGACUAAGAACAGGUUCUUUCAGUCAAAGAUCUGAUGGACAGAUGGUCCUCGUCAUCCUGCGGCCCAUGCAGGUGCACGUGAAUGGGGUUUCCUGCCCCAAGGUGCAGGGGGGGGGGUUUAUUAUCCGCCGUGCCAACAGGCAGCAGAUUCCUGUCGCUCUCAGGAAGAAGUUCAGAGAGGAAGGAAGAGAAGAGGGGGGAGCAAGGAAUGAAGGAUGAGUGAAUCGAAUGAAGGAGAGAAAGUGUUAAGCUGUAACACUUUGGAGGAGUGUUUGCUUUUAUCGCUCUGGAUCUGUUUUUGGAUGAAAAACAGAGAAUGAAGUUGUGAAGUGUGUUUGAUUCUUUCAGCCGUAAUAAAAGAUUAGUGGAUCAGAAAAUUGUUCCGGGAACGGCCGCUAUAGCGUGGAUGUUCUCAGAUACAGUCCAGCUGAUUCUUUUCUUCUUCCUUCAACAUUUUAGACCGCAGAAUGGAGGAAGAGGUGUGUGUGUGUGUGUGUGUGUGUGUGUGUGUGUGUGUGCGUGCGUGUGUGCGUGCGUGUGUGCGUGCGUUUGCGUAGGGGAGUCUACCAAACAGGGUCUAGAAAGGUCAAAGGCCACCUCUGUGGAGAUUCCCCUUUAGGCUAGCUAGCUACAGACGGAGGAAAUAAUAAACACUCCUGUAACAAACAGUCACAAACUAAUUUGGAAUUUAAGACGUUAUUUUGAAUUCCUAAAGGCACUAAAGGUUUGUCUGAAGGUUUCUGAACCAAAGGAGAAGAAUGUUUGAAUGAGGUUGAGCGGGUUGUCCAGCAAUCGGACGGUUGCAGGUUCAAGCCUGGCUCUGGACUGAGAAUUCUGCUGUUGUGUCUUUGGGCAAGACCCUUAGCCCACCUUGCCUGCUGGUGGUGGUUGGAGGGACCGGUGGCCCAUGUGCUCAGCAGCCUCGCCUCUGUCAGUGCGCCCCAGAGCAGCUGUGGCAACGUCGUAGCUCAUCACCAUCCGUGUGUGAGUGUGUGUGAAUGGAUGAAUGAUACACUGUAGUGUAAAGCGCUUUGGGAGUCCUCUGAAAGGUGCUAUACAAGUGCAGGUCAUUUAUCAUUAGUUUGUGUCUCUCCUUUACAUUAUGAUGAUUUUAUAGGUUGGUAUUUAAAAGGCUGGAUUUGGUACAGAACUAGGAUUUGUUAUUUGGUUGUUUCAGUCUGACCAGUUCCUAAAAAUAAAAUCAGGACAGUAAAUAAACAAUAAAUAAGAAAAUGAUGUCACACAGAAACCUGAAAAACAAGAAAAAUUAUUUUUCAAGGCUGUUUGGCCAAAUUCCAGUCAACUCUUUCUUUAUUACUUAAAUGGUAAAUAAAUGUAUGUUCUCCUUUCUGAAGAAGACCUGGAAAGAAAACUAAACAAAUAAAUAAAAGAAUAAAAACUGGAUAAAUUUUCUGAGACUGGUCAAAAAUAGUAUUUUGUGAUGAAUAAAGAGGAAGCCUACUUUUAGUUUUUCACUAAUACUUCAGAAGGGAAUAUUUAUUUAUCUACUUUUUUAGAGAUAGUCUUUUUAUUUUGCAUUUCAACAUUUUGUUGCCUUUUUCAGAAAAAAAGAAAAAGUAUUUUUGGAAAGCAGUGAUUUUCUUUUUCACGCUUAUUUUAAAACCUGAUGACAUACAAGAAUGAACCCUAACCAUUAGCGCUCACUUUUAUUUAUUUAACUCAGGGAAACAUAAAAUCAAAAUAACACAAAGCAUUUGAAGUUUUAUCCAUAAAAUGUGUUGGAGCAGCAAAUCAUUCAUCCAAUAGCUGAGUGAUGAGAUAAGAACGUUUAAAACAAAACAAAUCAAAAACGCUGAAAUCAAAGAAACAGUCUUAUAAAAAAGUUUUCAACACACACACACACACACACACACACACACAGUGUGGCAUUACAAAUAUGCCAAACAAAUAUACCCGCUGUCUAAUCUGAGGCCACGCUGUUUGACUUGUUUGUUUUCAUGUUUAUUCUGGAAUGUUGGACAUCCAAGGACGUGGCCAGGAGGGACUGCAGAGCUCUGAGACAAACGCAAUUAAACUCUAAUUUGUUAUAAAAGGUUUGUGGGACGCGGUGUCGUGAAAUCAUUAGUGAUUCCUCUGGUUAUGGGAGCACACUUAAGGGAUUUUGUGCACUCUUAAAAUCUGAAGCAAACGUGCAAUUGACAGCCUAGAUAAAACAGCCAGUUUGCACAAAGGAUCAAAAACUAAAACAACAUACAAUGUCAACAAGGCAAAGAUAAAAAGGAGAAAGAGGAGGUUGGAGCUUAACCGGCAAUAAAAAUGUGAUGAUGAGAAUGAAAGGAUCCUAAAAGAAGAAAAAGUUAAAUCUACUGACUAAUAAUCAUUUUCUGUUAUUUUAAAACUGAUUUGUUGAAUGCGUAAUUCUUCAGUAAAAUGUUUAUGGAACAAAAAUAUCACAAAAUGAGUCGAACUUUUAAUUGAAUGCAGAUUUAAAGACAUAUUCCUGGAACUAGAGGAAACUUUAUGAUGGACAGUGUGGCUAAAAGUGUCACGACAACAGGCAAAGGAACAGAACGGGAUGCCGCUGCAGCCUCCAAGAACUACACACGUGUUUGACUUUAAAUCAGUGUGUGCGUUGCCCAGCGAGUGUGUGGACUGUAAGCUGCACACUCAUUAGUGAAACCAAUACUAGCUCCAGUUACAGUGGUAAAUUCUGCCUUUGAACUUUUAAUAGAGCCUUGAAACCCAACUAGGCCUUUCAAACACACAGAAGAAGAAAGAACAGAUCUUAAAAAGUAAGGAUGUAAUAAGGGUUUUCUAAAAUGUGCUGAUUGUUUGUUCCUAACUGAAACCUGGCUGCUGCGCUCUAAAUAAGUCAUGUGUGUUUGUGAAGAAACUGUUGAAGCACAUCUAACUCACUAAUAAACCCCGAUUUCUGACCUUUUGUUUUCUCUGACGUUCAAAGGAACACCAAAAAGCAUAACAAAAUUCUUGUUGGUUUUACACACUCACACACACACACACACACACACACACACACACACACCAUUUGAAGCACUGUUUAGCACC
rnacentral:lncRNA from 1 species